CCAUGAAGUGGGGAGAUAAUCAGGUGCUCAGGGCUCGACGCUAUCCUUUGGGGAGCACCGCUUGUUCUCUUUUGAACGAUUUCACCGAGGUAUGCCAUGUCUGACAUUGAUAGUCCUUUCAUCUUCUAUUGUACUUACUUCUCCUUGGUUUCGCAGGUUACUUCGAGACCAUUCCAUGACCUCGUAUUUCCAGAUCUUGAAAGAUUAGCCUUGGUUAAGCACUUAUCUGAGCACCGAGUCCUUUUUCGGGGUAUCUGGGGUCAUGCCUGGUAUUUGGGAGAGAGAGUAGUACCCCAGGGGUUGGAUAUCGAGCCACGCCCUUCUCCCAGUCUUCCUCCACCCACUAUGCACUGCCUAGAGAUCAUCUCAGUAGAUGGGAUGGAGUAUUUGGAUGGCGGAGUAUGGGAUGAUUCAUUUCUGGAUUAGGAUAGGGACUACAGAGCCUUCCUGGAGGAGGAGACAGUAUGCACCCCUCUUGGUCCUGAUGGUCCAGUGGGGAGAGUGAGACGUGUAGAUCCUUCUGCUAUUCGGUUGCAUGCCAGUGCUAUCGAUCCUUCACAAGAAGGACCCUCCACCAGUGCCAGCGGGUCUCUCAGGGUUGCUGACAUCCCCUUUCAUGGCUUCCCUGCCUGGACCUAUCCCAAUGUAGACACUUCCCUUGGGCUACCUAUUCCUUAUGAUUAUAACUAGGAGGAUGCAUUACUGCCUGUGUGAGGUGAUAGUUGCCAAGGAUCGGGAGAUUACACAGCAGGACGCACUGAUUUAGGACCUGACCUAGAGGCUAGAGCAUGCUGGACUAGCAUCUGCGGAUUCCCCGGUGCUCCAUGAUGAUGGCUCAGAGUACGGUUUGACUUAUAGGGAUUUGUUCUUGCAUUUAUUGAAAACACAAACACAUGAAUAUUUUCUUUCUUUUUUUCUUUUUCCCUCCCCUUGUUUGUUCAUCA